CUACAUCAGAGAUAUUAGUAUACCCAUAUUUUACUAGAUUAUUAAAAGUUCUGGCUGACAUUUUUUAAGUGAUAGUGUAUACAUGCUGAUCUUCUAGUAGUUGCAGCGUCCAUAAGGGUGGUGUUAGGAGGAUUAUACAUUCUUUAAUACCAUUUUUCCUCGUAUAAGUUGCUAGUAUGUGUGCUAAUUUGUUGCUCUCCCUAAAAUUAUGUUGGAUUGUCAGAUUCCCUAGUUUUUCCAGCCAAUACCUGCAUAAGGAAACAGGAGGUUUAUAGAUUAGAUUAGUAUCUUCGGUUAGAAUUCGUAUUAUAUCACUGGAAUUGGUCUAUAUCUCCAAAGGCUUGAGGUGAAAUUAGUCGGCCAACUCUGCUCCUUUAAGUAAGGAAAGAAUUUCCAUAUGGGUAGAGGUAAUUCCCAUCAAUUUGUAGUGGAAAUCAACUUUCGAGUUUCCCAGGUCGUCCCGAAUUGCCCCUCCGAUGCCUCCUAUGCGGUUUAAGGAGUCGAAGGAUCCGUCAAUAUUGAGUUUGAAAGUAUCUUUCAGAGGAGGUUCCACUUGACCUGGCUGGAUUAUAGUGGUUGGAGGAGGAGUGGAGGUUAAUUCGAUGGUGCAAGCUAUGUUUUAAGAGUUCUAAGGAUACCUUGGAGUUGAAAAGAAGAGGAAGAAAGCAAAAGAAGAAAAAGGUAGUCAAGUUUGCACUGAGCAUUGCGCAUCAAGUUUGAAGCAUAGUAAACUGACUUUCAGCUCUCCUAAAAUAGCAGCCGCUACCUUUUAAAUGCUCAUCAAGUUGGCGACACAAAAAGGACAUUCAUAAUAUUACCGAAUUGACUCAGCAAAGGUCUAGAGUAUCUUCCAAAUUCACAGUUGCCUGAAAAAAGAAAUCAAUUGCACAAACCGAUUCAGCGAGCCCUCUCCUCUCCAAAAGCCCUAAUUGAGAAAUCAACCAAGAAUCAAGUAUUGUUCCUCAACCAAGCAUAUUAUUCACUUAAGUCUGUCUUUGGAGUGAAGAGACAACCUUUCUUCUUGGUUAAAUACAAUCUUAAGGGACAACAUCUGCUUCAAGCAAGGAGCAAGAGAUAAUCCAGACAUUGUAUUAUGUUAAAGGACUCAAAUAAAGGAGUGGCCGCUUUCUAGUCGUAGUUGGUACCGCCCCUGUUCACUUCAACAUGCAAGGAACACAUUCAAGAAGAAUCAAAGUUUUUCUCCUCUGCAAAGCUAUCAAUGCUUUAUUCAAGAUCUUUAGCAGUCGAUCGUUCAUUCUCCCUCCCAGUGUCUUUCUAAAGCUCGACAUGAAAUAAUAAAGAAAAUAGGAAAAAAGAGUACGGGGAUCCUGCUUCUACCCUCUUUUAUGUUACUCUAUUGGUUGCAAGUCAAUUCGAAAUAUUUCUUGAAUUAUUAUUUUAACCAUCUAUCAUUUCUACUCUUAUUUGUGAGUCUAUAUUAGGUAGCAGGGUUUAUUGAAACAGUGUAGUGUUGGUAUGUAGUAGAUUUACCCGAGUUGAUCUAAAAGAGCUUGAUGAUGUUUGUGUAAUCAAGACACAACUUCCGAUUCAAGUGUCUACGAUAGUACAAUAGUAAUAUAACCCAACCAAAUGGGUUGGGGUCGAGUCCCAAGGGAGCAGUUUCUAAGAAUUAAGAGUUAAGUGCAAGUAUGCUAGAGUUAACCAUAGCUAAAACUUUAUCGAGUAAAAUCAUGAUAAAUUAAGGGGUUGGCAUAAAUGUCAAUUAUCAAUGGGGGAGUUUGUAUUCAAUUAAUGAACAAAAACAGUGAAAACAAAAAGAUGCGAAUAUAGGAGACGAGAUUCUUGGG